rnacentral:SRP_RNA from 1 species
CCUGAGAGUCGAAGGGCCAGCUCCUGCUGAACUCCCCCAGGGUAGAAAUACAGCAAGGGUAGGUGGUUGAGCGGUUAGCUUUGGCUCUCUUUUUC